rnacentral:tRNA from 1 species
ACUUAAAUAGAAGCUUUUAAUAGCACUUGACUGUUAAUCAAGAGAAGCCGUUUAGGCCGUUUAAGUU